rnacentral:lncRNA from 1 species
GCAUGCUUAUCAGUUUGCCCUUCUCAAACUCACUUUGUUCAUUUGUCCAUUCACUCAAACUUUUCUUGAGAAUCUACUGUGUGCUCAGCACUGACUCUGAGAGCUGUCAAUAAGGAUAGCUCAAAAGAUAGGUUCUAUUGUCAGAUAAGUUUUAGAUACACUCUCCGUGGCAUUGCGUUUCUUUGAACUAUAAUAAGCAUCUUCUGUUUAUCAGGUAGUACCCAUUCUUCUAUAUUACUACAUCUGAGAAAUCCUUUAUUUUAUUCAUAUUUUCCAUAAUUAUUGGAAUUCUUUUUUUCUCCAAGCCCUCUUUCCAUUAUGAAACCGAGUAAUAACACUAGAAUCCUAGAGCAAUGGUUGAAAGAUUAGCUUUGGCAAAUACUGGUGUAAUACGGAGACAGAAUAACAGUUAGAACUAAUCUUGUUACAUAAAUUUCUAAUGGUAAUGCUGAUAGACUGAUAAACCAGAGAACAUUAGUAGGAAUCAAGUGCAUUAUACUUCUUAAACAUGGAUUCCUCAAAGAAUCAAGGUUCUGGAUAUGCCAAGUUUAAAGUCUGGAACCUUUCACUAAUGGGCACAAAACUAAUAAUGUAAACAUUAAUGAUUUAAGUAUUAAAAAUUUAAUUAUUAAUUUAAUUAAAAUAUUAACUACUUUAAAUUUUUAAAAAUAUAAAUCGACCAAUUGAUUCAAUCAGGUAGACUGGAAGGUAAAUUUAUUUCUUCAAAAAGAUCGAUGUGGUGUUUUCUGCUAAGACCUAAUGGCUUUCUUUCAACAAUAUAUCAGACUCUUAAAAAUGCAGAGAUUUGUUAAAUUUUUAGAAUUGAACUUCAGGAAAUUUAUAAUAAAAUUUCAAAACUAGCUAGCCAACAGUUCUAAACAGAUUAAGAUGACAGGAUAUUCCCCAUCUUUUAUUUUUAAAGUUUAAAGUUUUAUUUUUAUUUUUGUUAAGAGUUAAUAUUACAACGAAAUAUAUCUUCUUUGAGUGUCACUUCUCAGGUGCUCAGGAUAAGUGGCAGUCUGAGCUGUCAAUUCAAUUUCUGUUGCUAUCUAGGCUGAAAGGAAAUACAAAUACAUACACAGCAGAAGGUAACAGCAACAAUUAUAUUCCACAGAUCUGUGUAAUUUAUGAAGAAAAGAGGAAUCCAGUUCAGGAAAUGCAUGAAUCUCCUAAAAAAAUCUUCACCAUAGAACUAUUACUAUUAUCUUUCUGAUAUUAUAUUGAAAAUGAAACACAUUCACCAAUUCUCCAAAGGCAAUUUCUCUUCACCUCAAAUAAAUCUCCCUUAUAGGCCAUAUAAAUAGAAUUAAACUGUCACAUAAUGUUUCCAUUUGUUUUCCUGCAGAAUAAACUCAUUACAACCAGCCCAUUAGAAGAUGAUAUUAAAGGAUUUAAUUGCCUGUGCAUAUUAAAUAUGUUUAAAAUUUAUGAAAAUAAACAUUUUCAAAUUGAGUAAAUACACUGCAAUGAUAGAAAUGGGAAUGUGGAUUUAAUGCAAAUUCUUACGGUAAUGCGGAUCCAUAGCACUACCAUGGACUGGAUGUGCCUCCUUGGAGCAUGUAUAGAUGUUCCAGGCCAGAAUCUAAGCCACACAAGGGCAGAAAUCCAUUUGGAGGCACAUGUGGAAUUGCUAAUAGAUUAUAAAUGGCAAUUUAGUCUAUGCAGGCAAUAUCUUUGGAUGAAAUAUUGCAUUUAUGAUAAUCAGGGGAGACUUACAACAAUUAACAUGGUUGGUGUUUUCCAGGGCUGGCCACUGAGCUCAAGGGAGUGUGUGUAUUUGACCUUGUGUCCCUUACACUUUCCGAAUAGCAUGGUUCAUAGUUUCCUGAUGGACAGCUGCCAAUUAUUAAAAAUUUCUCAAAAACUUCUGGGAGGAGCUUUUAGGUUUUAGCUGUCAGCAACAGGUGAUGGCAAGAAGGAAAACUUGAAACCAUUUUGGAAGCCAGGAGAAGCAGGAUGGAACAGUCCAACUUUCGGGGGGCAGAGGAGGAGUUCAGUUGUUCCAGGCCUGUUUCCCCACCACCCUGGCAGAUGGUUCAACAGCCAGGUUGCAGUGGCUUGAAGGCAGAAAGAAAGAUUUCUCCCUUAAUCUUUUCAAAAUCGCCAACAAAAGUCAAGUCAAAUUCUUUUAAAAAAGAAAAGAGCAGCUCGUCACUUUUUUGAGAAUCUUCUCUUGAGUCUUCAUGUGGCUCAGGAUUCUGCAUUGUUCUUCUUCCAUAUCUUGAACCUCCAGCACGAAGACUCACAAGACUCUUUUGAAGGAUAUUUGUUGAACAAAAGAGUUAUAUUCCACUCUUGGCACAUCGCUGUGAAGCUUAAUUACUGUCUGUCCCUCUAUGGGGUUCUUGAUGCCUUCCCCUGGACCAUAGGCCAAACCCAAAUCCUGAUCCUCUGGCUCCGGAUCUGCCCAACUGAAUCCACCAACCUCUUUUGAAGAAGCUGGGCACUAACCGCACAGCCAGGGUAGAGCUCAGUUGCACCAAGUUACAGUUAGGAAGAACACCCAGAGUUAGCAGGAAGCCACGCUGGCAUGCACAGCCAAGGUCAAAUAUCAACGGCACCGAUUUUGAACCUUAAAUUAAAAGGCUGGAGAAGUAUAAGAGAUUAAGGCUGCAGGUUUUAUUAAGCAUCAGAGAGAAGAGGAAGUGGUAGGGAAUGAUUGACAGUGCUUCAAGGAGACAAAAGGUCAGUAUGGUAUAGCAUUGAGAUGUUGCAGACAGGCAGGGGAUGGAGUCCUUGAAUCAAAAGACUCAGAGGUUCACCAAGUAGCUUCCGAAUGCCCUUGCAUAGCAUUCAUAUUUUUAUUCUACAAUGCUCAUCAAAAGAAACUCAUGAGUCCUCAUUCAUCAUUCAACAUAUAUUUAUUAUAAGGUCAUGUGAGCAGUUAUAUCAUUGUUUAAUUCAUUCAUUCAACAAAUUUACUAUUUGGACUAGAAUCUCUAUUUUGUCACUUACUAGUCAUGUGACCUAUACAAAGUAUUUAACCUCCCUGCCCAGUUCUUUAUCAGUUAAGAGAUGAAUAGUAUUUCUGGGAUUUAUCAUAAGGAUUAAAUGAGUACUGUGAACACUAUGAGACACGUACGGAAAUAUCAACACAUUUCCUGGGCCUAUUUACUAAAUAUUGUGAAUUGGACCAUGGACCCAAAAGUUGGGUUGAAGUUCCAAAUGCAUAUUCAUGAACAGAACCAUGUUUUCAAAUAGGAUUCUUACAAAUGUAAUCAAGUUAAAAUGGGUGCAUCAGAGUGCACUUUAACCCCACAUGACUGGUGUUUUUGUAAGAGGAGUGACAGAGGGAAGACUGCCCUGUGGCUGCUGAAGACACCUGGAGAGUGAGAAGUAGAAGAGCAUCCUCCACCAGAGAUGUCAGAGUGAGCCCGACACUGCCAGCACCUUCUCCCAUAACUUCCAGCCUCCAGCACUGUGCAAGAAUUCACUUCUCCUGUGUUAAGCCACCAGUCUGAGGUAAAGACACCCCUGAUUUACCGAGGCUCGCCUUCACAACUGCAUCAAAGUGAUACGCAUUUGACAGAGUCUGUACCUCCAACUUUGAAUUCUGAUGUCCUCCUGGGUCAGUGAUGUGCAGUACAAACUCUCUCCAGAUGAUGAGAAGUGUCAGUGGCCCUGCAUACCUGUCAGCUGUGUGACCACAAGGGGAAACCAUCAGAGGUCGACUUUGCACUGCGCUGCUCAGCAUGAUGCUUGGUAGGUCAAGUGUAUUUAGUGCAUUUCCACUUAGAAUAUUUUCAACUUAUGACCAGUUCAGGGUGCUUGACCCCAUCAUAUAUUAAGAUGUAAUCCCAUUGUGAGUGAAGGAGAAUUUGUACUUUGAUAGAACACCCCUAAGAGACUAAUACCCUGAGUAGCUACUCUGCUUCGGAGACUCUUCCAGUUUCUGAUGAACAAAUGCCAAAGAGUGUGAAUUUUUUCCUAAGGAUUAUGUGAAACCAUGAGGGAAUGUAUAUGAUCGAAUGUUCAUGUGCAUGGACACAGAGAAGAUGUAGUGCAAGAAAAACGCUGCAGGGAGGAAAAGCAGUUAGGAGGUGGCUGUAGUAGUUCAAGGAAAACAAUGACUCGUGGCCUGAGAAGACAUUGAUAUAGAGAGAAAGUAGGCAUCGAGAAAAUGUUCUGAAGAUGGAAUUCUCAGUUUUGGUGAUAGACAGGGAGAAAAGUAUGAAAGGAGAGGUUUCUGGCCCUAACUGAAUGGCAGUGGAGUCACGUGCAAAGACUGAGAGUGAAGAGGCCUGGGGCCAGAAGAAGAUGCUAAGUGACGCUACACACGUUGGAGUUGAGAUACUGAAAGACAGAGGAGAGAGCCCUGUAGGCAUCUGGAUGAGUUUGGCGUAUGGGUCAAACAGAUCUGAGCAGGAAGUAUAAAUUUGGGAAUUAGCAUGUCGAUGUCAAGUGGAGCACAUUACAUCAUGAAAUCAUAUAAAGCCAGGGAAUGAGUCUUACCUUGUGAAGCAGCUUCAAUCAUGCAAAAAAAAAAAACCCAACAAAACCUUUUCAUACAUAUCCAUGCACAUUUUUCUGGAGUAGACACAGAGCUUUGUUCAGAUUCUCAAAGGCAUCAAUGACUCAAAAAGAAGCUGAGAACUACCAGCAAAAAGUAUGAGCAGAAAAGUGCCCGAGACCAAACACCAAAGCAUCUAAGUUCUAAGAUCACCUUAAAAGAGUAUCUUGACAGGCUGACCAAAUAGGUGGAAGAAAACUCUAGACUCCUAAAUCAAGGCAGCGACAAUUUUUAAGCUAUGCAUACUGGCACCAGUAUCAAAGGGCCAAAAACUCAAAAUACGAGGAGUUAUUGUGAGCUUCUCAAGGGCAAUUUAAAGUGAACUGGUUUGAGCACAAAUCUUUAGGUUGAUGGGUAAAUGACAGGUGAGAGAGGAGACCCUGAAAUUUUUAUAAAAUAAGAAAAUUUUAUCCUUUAAUUAAUUCCAAGAUUAAUAAACAGGAUUUAUUGUGUGUAUUUCAAGAUGGUAAAUUAACUCUCAUUUGUUCCUAUACCUGUUCUCCCUUUAUUUUUCUUAGAAACCCUGUUUAUUUUCCUGUUAUUUUCUUCUGUUUCUUCACUAAAAGGAAAGUCAAAGGAAAAAAAUCUACAAUGAAAAUUGUUAGGCCGACAGAGAAACUAAAAGUAGUAGGAUUCACAUUGGGUACCAAAAUACAAGCUAGUGAAUUUUAAAAAUAAUGUAUGUAUUAAAAUGUAUUUAUAUAGUGUUGUUGUAUAACACACUUCAUAUUUAUGAGUCAGCACUCAAAUGACAGUUGAGUUCAUUUAUAGAGAGACAAUCAUCAGGCUGGACAGGCAAAAAGAUGUAACUUCAAAGGCUUUGAAGAUUCCGGGCAGGAUCCUGGGUUAUAUCUAAAUCGUGUGUGUAUUUUUAUUAUCAACCAAACGAUUUCAGGGCUGCAUCCUGGUGAACUGAAAAACAAGUUGUUCAAAUUUUUGUAUUUCAAAAGAUGGUUAGGCAUCACAGAAACAAACACAUUGUUAUUGUUAAAGACAACUGUUCUUUUUUUUUUUUUUAAUAAAACUAUUCUGUAAAGGGAACGAGGAUAAUGCUGGCAAUGUGGUUUACUUUUCUUUAAAGGGACAUCUCUUCUGUGGAGUCUGUUAUGGCAGAAUUGAGAAUGCUUCCUCCCCGCCUCCACAUUUUACGAUCGUAGUUAGUGUAAAUGCUUAGGUCUGCUCACUGUUUUGCAUGUCCAGUUCUCUCUACUACUUGUUAAGGCUUGGGGGAGGCAGGGAGUGUAUGAAAUUCAUCUUUGUAUUCCCCUAUCAAUAACACAAUAACUGGAACAUUAAAGUGCAUCAAAUGAAUGAAUUUUAAUUAUUUACCCCAAUAUAUCUAAGUUCUGGUUCAUGUCUAGAUGUCCUCCCAAACCUCAAGUGCUCAGAGGUGGGGCUUUUUGGAGAUGAGUGGAUCAUGGGGCUUCUAGCUGAAUUACUGUUGGAAGGAGGGGUCUGGACAGAAGAGGCAGUCACUGUGGGCAUGGCCUGGAAGGGUCUGUCUCCCUUCCUGCUCCUCUUCCAUUUCACUUUGCUGCCAUGCCAUAACCCAUUCUCCUUGCCAUGCCAUUUGCCUUGGAGCCAGUCAAUUAUGUACUGAAAUCUGCAAACCAUGAGCCAAAAUAAACCUCUCCUCCUUUGAGUCAUGGUUGUUGGGUAUUGAGUCCCAGUGAUGGGAAAGUAAUUAAGACAAUCUAUUAAUUGCAUCUUGAGCUUUCAUUUGUGUAAUAAGAAUUGGAAUUUUUCUGUUGCUUCAUUGUUAAAGAUGACUAUUUUUGCAUAAUGCGUUUGGAACAUUAUUAAUAAGACAAUGGAAAAGAAAAUGUCACAAUUCAUUUGAAAUGCAAAGAGCCAAUAAACAGCAGUUAAAUAACAGACAUUAAAUGUUGCACAUAUGUCAAGUAAUAACAAGAAUUCUUUUCCUAGAAUUUGAAACAUUGUUAAGUGCAAUUGGUAUGACAUUAGAAUUUUUUAAGGCUAACACAGGGUCUGAUGUAGAUUAAGAGUUAUGUGCAUUAAAAGAGGAGAGAACAGUGAAUUACCAGAAGCAUUACUACUGACAGAAGACUCUAUAACUUCAAAGCUUGUUAUAUGACAUGACAUGAGUGGUUGAAAUGCAUAUGGCUGGGGAGAUACCAAGAAUAGUUCUCUUGGGUCUCAGUAGUUGCACUUUUUAUAGUGCUCCUCAGGGAUUAUAAAUAGACCCAUUUAGGAAGGAGUUCCUACUACCACACUAAUACAAAGCACAACCAAAGUGUCAACAACAACAAAAACAACAUACAUACAUACCAGUGGAUAAACGCACUGAAUUAGAGAUUUAUUUAGUUUUCCAACUCUAUCUGCAGUAAUGAUGAAAGAGGCAACGAGAAUUUUCAAAGUUGUUCUGAUCAAAUUAUAAUUAACAAUCAUGCAUAGAAAGAGGAAACCUUGUUUCUAUAGUCAUAAAAAUUUAACAUGGCAAGGUUCACUUGGUUAACAUUAAAACACAAAACUGGAUGCCAUGUGUUCACAACUCCUUGUGGAAUUUUAAAAUAUAGAGUGGUGGUUUUAGCUUGCUAUGUAGGGUCACCCAGGUACACAUUCCUGCAAUAUUUAAGAGAUUUUACUAAUAAAUGUCAAGGAGUGAAAGUGAUCAUGUGUAUAUUUAUUAUGUCAUCAUAAUAAAUCUAUGGGGGACCAGACACUGAUAUGACUGUUGUAAUGAUGAGCAAAGAAGAAAUUUUAAAGAUACAAAAUGGGAAUUUUCUAUGGAAAACCACACAAAUAUUUAUCUGCUUAUUGGAAUUCUGAGUGAACUUCUCUAUCAAUGACAUCUGCUGGG